UAUUUGACAAGUAGAACAUCUGUGUUUAGACAACAUAGGCCUGUGAUAGACUUGGAGGCACCCUAUCACACAUACUUGAGAUUCCUGCCCUGCUGCAGGAAAGAUCAAAGCACAUGGUGGUAAACUACGCCUGCGCGAGUCCCUGAUAAACAGGCACCAACAGCAAGUUCGGGGAUCCUCUAUCGCAGACCGAGCUCCGUGGUGCCGGCAUCCCUGCCCGUGUCCCUCUGCCCCGGUGCUGCUUCGGGAUCCUCUGGUUGGUGAGAGGGCAGCUUUUCUCUCCUGUAUCCAGGGUAGCAGUGGAACAGGACAAUCCAUGUGGCAGAAGAGCCUAGAUAAAACAGUUGAGAAAAUUUACAGUGACAUGCAGAAGCAGCAACUGAUUAAUUCUGCAUUUACUGCUAUCAAUACACUUACCAGUGUCAUCA